rnacentral:rRNA from 1 species
CCUACGGGCGGCAGCAGUGAGGAAUAUUGGUCAAUGGACGAGAGUCUGAACCAGCCAAGUAGCGUGAAGGAUGACUGCCCUAUGGGUUGUAAACUUCUUUUAUAUGGGAAUAAAACGUUCCACGUGUGGGAUUUUGUAUGUACCAUAUGAAUAAGGAUCGGCUAACUGCGUACCAGCAGCCGCGGUAAUACGGAGGAUCCGAGCGUUAUCCGGAUUUAUUGGGUUUAACGGGCGCGUAGGGGGAUUGUUAAGUCCGUUGUGAAAGUUUGCGGCUCAACCGUAAAAUUGCAGUUGAAACUGGCAGUCUUGAGUACAGUAGAGGUGGGCGGAAUUCGUGGUGGAGCGGUGAAAUGCUUAGAUAUCACGAAGAACUCCGAUUGCGAAGGCAGUUCACUGGACUGCAACUGACACUGAGGCUCGAAAGUGUGGGUAUCAAACAGGAUUAGAUACCCUUGUAGUC